GUCGUGGCUCAGUGGUAGAGCAUCUGCUUUGCAUGCAAAAGGUCCCGGGUUCAAUCCUCAAUGGCAUCUCCA
rnacentral:tRNA from 1 species